UACGUAGGGUGCAAGCGUUAAUCGGAAUUACUGGGCGUAAAGCGUGCGCAGGCGGUUUUGUAAGUUUGUCGUGAAAGCCCCGGGCUCAACCUGGGAAUUGCGAUGAAGACUGCAAGGCUUGAAUCUGGCAGAGGGGGGUAGAAUUCCACGUGUAGCAGUGAAAUGCGUAGAGAUGUGGAGGAACACCGAUGGCGAAGGCAGCCCCCUGGGUCAAGAUUGACGCUCGAGGCACGGAAAAGCGUGGGGGAGCAAACAGG
rnacentral:rRNA from 1 species